rnacentral:sRNA from 1 species
ACUCUGUGUGUGAGGAGUCAGUGAGGGUACAGAAUGGAGUCCUGUUCUACAUCACAGGUCUUCUCAUUUCAGAGCACAGUAACUUUGCCUAAUUAUCAGGAAAUCUCCAUGAGUUACAUCAUUUCUGCCUUCUCUCUGAAACUAGAGGAGUUCUUCCUAAAAUGAAGAAAUGUACAUCUUCAUGGAGUACUGCGAUGAGGGGACUUUAGAAGAGGUGUCAAGGCUGGGACUUCAGGAACAUGUGAUUAGGCUGUAUUCAAAGCAGAUCACCAUUGCAAUCAAUGUCCUCCAUGAG